CAGGGUUCAUCACCAUAUUAGUUGUGUUGUCCUUGGGCACGGUUAUGCUAUUGAUGUAAAACGGGCCCACAACAUUUGAUGCAUCAGAAAGUGUGCGUCUGGGAGGAGGUUGUUGUUCUGAUGCCAUCUCAUCUGAUCUUUGCUCUAGUAAGGGUUGUAACAAUCUCUCAGGAGAAGCAAACAAUUCUAUAGAUGGACGUCUAACUCUC
rnacentral:lncRNA from 1 species